AUUGAACGCUGGCGGAAUGCUUUACACAUGCAAGUCGAACGGCAGCACGGGAGCUUGCUCCUGGUGGCGAGUGGCGAACGGGUGAGUAAUAUAUCGGAACGUAUCCAAUAAUGGGGGAUAACUAGUCGAAAGAUUAGCUAAUACCGGAUACGCCCUGAGGGGGAAAGCUGGGAUCUUCGGACCUAGCGUUAAUGGAGCGGCCGAUAUCUGAUUAGCUAGUAGGUGAGGUAAAAGCUCACCUAGGCGACGAUCAGUAGCUGGUCUGAGAGGACGACCAGCCACACUGGAACUGAGACACGGUCCAGACUCCUACGGGAGGCAGCAGUGGGGAAUUUUGGACAAUGGGCGCAAGCCUGAUCCAGCCAUUCCGCGUGAGUGAAGAAGGCCUCGGGUUGUAAAGCUCUUUCGCAAGGGAAGAAAACUUAACCUCUAACAUAGGUUGAGGCUGACGGUACCUUGAUAAGAAGCACCGGCUAACUACGUGCCAGCAGCCGCGGUAAUACGUAGGGUGCGAGCGUUAAUCGGAAUUACUGGGCGUAAAGCGUGCGCAGGCGGCCUGAUAAGUCAGAUGUGAAAUCCCCGAGCUCAACUUGGGAACUGCGUUUGAAACUAUCAAGCUAGAAUAUGUCAGAGGGGGGUAGAAUUCCACGUGUAGCAGUGAAAAUGCGUAGAGAUGUGGAGGAAUACCAAUGGCGAAGGCAGCCCCUGGGAUAAUAUUGACGCUCAUGCACGAAAGCGUGGGGGAGCAAAA
rnacentral:rRNA from 1 species